CCUAACAACGGAUGUGUAUAGGGAACCAGUAACACAAAGUGACUGGACAAAAUUGGGAAGCCACACCCACUAAACAAAGAUCCACUGAUCUGUGGAGUGACUGUAUCCCACACAAAGGUCACAAAACCAUUAAUUAGCUGUGACUAGACAAACAAAAACAGUAACACAAAAACAAUGUUGCCA